CAAGUCGAACGCGAAAGUUUCCUUCGGGAGACAAGUAGAGUGGCGCACGGGUGAGUAACACGUAGGUAAUCUACCUUUGGAUGGGGAAUAACAACCGGAAACGGUUGCUAAUACCGCAUAAUGCAACGGCACCUAAUGGUGACAGUUGUUAAAGCGGGGGAUCGAAAGACCUCGCGUCUAAAGAGGAGCCUGCGGCGGAUUAGCUAGUUGGUAAGGUAAUGGCUUACCAAGGCUACGAUCCGUAACCGGCCUGAGAGGGCGGUCGGUCACACUGACACUGACAUACGGGUCAGACUCCUACGGGAGGCAGCAGUCGGGAAUUUUGGGCAAUGGGCGAAAGCCUGACCCAGCAACGCCGCGUGAAGGAUGAAAUCCCUCGGGAUGUAACUUCGCAAGAACGGGAAGAAUAAGUAGGGGACAAUACCCCCUAUGAUGACGGUACCGUUUGUAAGCUCCGGCUAACUCCGUGCCAGCAGCCGCGGUAAUACGGGGGGAGCAAGCGUUGUUCGGAUUUACUGGGCGUAAAGGGCGCGUAGGCGGUCAGCACAAGUCAAUUGUGAAAUCUCCGAGCUUAACUCGGAAAGGUCAACUGAAACUGUGCGACUAGAGUGCGGAAGGGGCAACUGGAAUUCUUGGUGUAGCGGUGAAAUGCGUAGAUAUCAAGAGGAACACCUGCGGCGAAGGCGGGUUGCUGGGCCGACACUGACGCUGAAGCGCGAAAGCCAGGGGAGCGAACGGGAUUAGAUACCCCGGUAGUCCUGGCCUUAAACGAUGAAUGCUUGGUGUCUGGGGUUAUAAAGUCCCCGGGUGCCGUCGCUAACGCUUUAAGCAUUCCGCCUGGGGAGUACGGUCGCAAGACUGAAACUCAAAGGAAUUGACGGGGACCCGCACAAGCGGUGGACCAUGUGGUUUAAUUCGACCCACCCC
rnacentral:rRNA from 1 species